rnacentral:misc_RNA from 1 species
AAACCUUUUCUCUUGGGAAGUUAGGAGCUCUGAGAUCCAUCUGUCCUUAAUUUCCACUCUCCCUCUUCCCAUACCCUCGAUUUUCUGGGCAAACAAACGGAACUUAGCGUUCCUUAAGUUAUUUGGUAUUUGGGUUCAUUUUGUUUAUGAAACUAGUAUUUUUCCUCAGAACUUGUUAGGCCAAGCUAUUGGUAGUGGGAUAGAUUUUACUAGUAGUUGAAUGUUUCAUUUUAGUCAUUAUAUUUUAAUUUAUUUCAAUAAAAUCACUAUCUUUUAUUUUUUGUUCACUUCUAGUCACUAAGAACAGAAUCCUAUAGAAUCUCUGAUAAAACUCAUAUGUGGUGUGAUUUAUGCCAGUUUAAAUUCUAAAAAUAUAUAUAUAUAUUUUUGCCUGGUCAAAUUAAUUUUUUUUUGGUUUUUUGGGAGUCUAAAAAUAGAGAUUAAUAAAUGUAAUGAGAGAUAAAAUUUAUUUUUUUUCUUUGGUUUUUUAAUCUUACUUGGCAAUGAGAUAAAUAUUUUACGAAAGACACGCCAUAUGGGAGUUUAUCGGAUUUUGAUCCGAGUGACUGCUAGCAAAUAAAAAAUAGAAGACGAGUGAUUAUUGAAACAAAUUAAAGUAUAAUGACCGAAAUGAAAUAAUUAACAAAUUUGAAUGACUACUGAGGAAAUUUAUCUAUGAUAGUGUGAAUGAUAGAAUUCUAUGGAAUGGGACAUUGGGAAGUCUGGGUUUUUAUGUUCAAACCCAUUUCAGCGUAUUCAUUCAGUUGCAAAGUUAAUAUCAUGAUAAAACAUUUGUAUUUUUGUGGUUACUAAUGUGGAUGUGUGGCCUUUGGAUAGAUUGAAGUUUGAAAGCUGAAGGUAUUCGUAUUUAGGAUGCUGCUUGGAUGAAAUUGAAAAAUAAAAUAAGUUAUCUUUAUUAACAUAUCUGAAGUAUUCUUCCACAGGGCACUUAACCGGACUCUCAUACAAGUUCCCUCAGCCUCUUCGUCUGAUCACAGAGAGAGUCAAUUUUUAAUCUGCAAUAUUCCUUCAUUAAUUACUCUAGAUUAUUUAAUUUCCAUGUAAUGAUAUUCCUUUCCUUGCUCCUUGUUUCUUCUUCUUUCUUUCCUCCUUUCUUUCACUGCUACAUUCACUUAUUGAGCCAAAUGUGGACUCAUUAUGAUCUUUGAAUUGUUUUUUAUUAAUUAUAUAAUAAGUACUCUUUUACCCACCAGCUCUAUUGAAUUGUCUGAAUGUUCCUCCAUAGUGAUAAGAAGUUGAAAAGUUCACUACUUUAAUUCCUGUCAUUAUUCAGCAUUGCUGAUAAAUGAGCAUUGAUGAGUAUCCAUUUUGUCUUCUUUAAGGCAUACAGAAUGACAUCUAUGCAGUAAUGAAAUAAAAUGUUUAAAAAUCUUGAAGUAAGAGUUUUAAAACCUACCAUGAGAGGAACCAGAUUUUCUUACAAGUUCAAACACUGUGGGAUAUAAAUUGGAAGUGGAGUUAUUGUCACGUUGAUCACACUACAUGAAAUCAAAACAAUUCACGCUGCCUGAGAAGUCAUUUAAUUUAUAAAAUUGGAUGGUCAACUUCAUGCUGGGUUUAGUUACAGGGUUAAAGACAUUUCACAUUUUUCUGUUUAUGAUUCUUGAUCAUGAUUUUUUUCUUUACAUUUCUCUUUUGAGUUGAUUGUUUUCUUAAUGCUGUGCAAGUGGCAGUGAAGCAGGCUUGCUACA